AGCAGUCGCCACGGGAAUACGUAGGGUGCGAGCGUUAAUCGGAAUUACUGGGCGUAAAGCGUGCGCAGGCGGUUCGUUAAGACAGAUGUGAAAUCCCCAGGCUUAACCUGGGAACUGCAUUUGUGACUGGCGAGCUAGAGUAUGGCAGAGGGGGGUAGAAUUCCACGCGUAGCAGUGAAAUGCGUAGAUAUGUGGAGGAAUACCGAUGGCGAAGGCAGCCCCCUGGGAUAACACUGACGCUCAUGCACGAAAGCGUGGGGAGCAAACAGGAUUAGAUACCCGAGUAGUCCCUGUCUCUUAUAC
rnacentral:rRNA from 1 species